rnacentral:rRNA from 1 species
AUGGACUCGCGCUUCUCCUCCGGCUCCGGGGACGUGAGGUCGGGGAGCUCGCUGACGGUGGGGGAGCGGCUCUGCGCCGCCUUCUUGCCAUUCGUUGCUGUCGCCGAGGCCGUCUUCUUCGUCCUCACCGACUGCCUCGCCGACAUCUGCCCUCCUUCGUCCUCCUCCUCGCGCCUGCGCAGAGAAUCCUCUGCUUCGUCCUUCCUCACGGCCAAGAAGAAGAGCCACCACCUGUUCCGCCGCCGCGUCGGGCCAGGCUGCAUCUCCCUCGACUUCCACAACCUUGCCCGCCUCGCCGAGGAGUCCCGUUGCUUUUCGGUGAACGAGGUGGAGGCGCUGUUCGAGCUCUACAAGAAGAUCAGCUGCUCCAUCAUCGACGACGGGCUCAUCCACAAGGAAGAACUGCAGCUAGCAUUAUUCAAGACUCCUAGCGGGCAGAAUCUUUUUAUUGACAGGGUUUUUGAUUUGUUUGAUGAAAAGAAGAAUGGAGUAAUAGAGUUUGAUGAGUUUAUUCAUACUCUCAGUGUCUUCCAUCCAUGCUCAGCUGUGGAGGAUAAGAUUAAUUUUGCAUUUAAGCUGUAUGAUUUGAGGCAAACCGGGUUUAUUGAGCGUGAAGAGGUUAUGCAAAUGGUUAUUGCCAUUUUGAAUGAAUCUGAUAUGAAAUUGUCUGAUGAGCUUCUUGAGGCCAUCAUAGAUAAGACGUUUGAAGACGCUGAUACAGAUAGGGAUGGGAAAAUCAGCCAAGAAGAAUGGAAGGAAUUUGUAUUGCGCCACCCUAAUCUAUUAAAGAACAUGACCCUACCUUAUCUAAGGGACAUCACAACAUCUUUUCCAAGUUUUGUCUUCAACACGGCAGUUGAAGACUAA